rnacentral:rRNA from 1 species
UUGAACGCUGGCGGCAUGCCUUACACAUGCAAGUCGAACGGUAACAGGUCUUCGGAUGCUGACGAGUGGCGAACGGGUGAGUAAUACAUCGGAACGUGCCCGAUCGUGGGGGAUAACGAAGCGAAAGCUUUGCUAAUACCGCAUAAGAUCUACGGAUGAAAGCAGGGGACCGCAAGGCCUUGCGCGAACGGAGCGGCCGAUGGCAGAUUAGGUAGUUGGUGGGAUAAAAGCUUACCAAGCCGACGAUCUGUAGCUGGUCUGAGAGGACGACCAGCCACACUGGGACUGAGACACGGCCCAGACUCCUACGGGAGGCAGCAGUGGGGGAUUUUGGACAAUGGGCGAAAGCCUGAUCCAGCCAUGCCGCGUGCAGGACGAAGGCCUUCGGGUUGUAAACUGCUUUUGUACGGAACGAAAAGACUCUGGUUAAUACCUGGGGUCCAUGACGGUACCGUAAGAAUAAGCACCGGCUAACUACGUG